GGAGAGGCGGGCGUGAGGCGAGGCGAGCCCGCCCCGCUGCGCUGCCGGCGGCUGGGGACGUCUCACCUCAUCUGUCACCAGUUCUGCUCGCCUGCCCAGCUGUCAAAACAGGGGGUGUCUUUUUCAUUCCAGCUCACAAACCUGCCCGUCCCGCUGGAGAGCCAGCAGAUGAGCAUGCCCUAAUCCUCCCCAGUCGGCUGAUCUCAGUGGGUUUUGCGGGACAAGCCGGGCGAGAAGGCUCCGUGGCUUUCAUCUCGAUGAGCAAUUUCAGCUUAUGGAAAACAUCCACGUGGAGACAACAUGGAACCAGAAAUUCUCUGAAGUCAUUAUCAUCGGAAAAGGUCUUAAACCAGAAUAAUACAUUCAGAUAAGCCUCCUCUCUUUCUCAGAAAGAUAUUCUCUUUGGAUUCAUAAAGCUGUUAUUUUCUUUUUAUUGCCUCUCCCAUAGUUUUGUUGAUGGUUUGGUUUUGCAUCAUCUGAUGGAGUUUUAAGCAAACUAAUGGAAAAGGGCAAGAUAACAAAGACAAUUUUUUCUAGGAAGAAAAUUUUAUGUACCUUUCCCAAUAUUCUAUUGCUUUAAGUUAAACUUAAACUUAAAUAUUAUAUGUGAUGCUCUUGAAGUUCUUCCAGACAAAACUAGAGAAGAUCCUGAGGAUUGCUCGUAAAUGCUUUUUCUGCAUUGUGUCAGAAGUGGCUGAAGCAAUUUAGUUACAGUGUACAAGCGCCAGAACCUUUAUGGUGUUGGAAAGUUGCUUUUCAUGAGCUGGGUGGCCAAAAAUGUGCUAAGGUUGGCCCCACUUCACUUAGAGAUGACUCCAGAUUAAGAACAUAGGAGAACCAUAAUUUGUUUGAAAUGCUUGCGUAGACUCCUGUUGGAUCUUCAGACAUCACUUCUGACAUCCUGAGAUCUGAAAUGCUUAGUUGCAGACAAAACCUGCUCACAAUAAGCUAAUGAAAAACUUGUUGAAUGGGAAGAGGAUUGCUACAUAGCUCCAAAGAUAAGUGUAGGGAAAACUGAAGGGAAAACUUCUUCACCAAGCAGUUGAUCAUAGAUGUAGUUAAUCACACAGGCAUAUUUUCUUUUCUUAUCUGCUGGUAUAUGUGUGUGUUAUCAGCCGUGAAAUUGGUUACAGCACUGGAAACAACCACUUUCAGAACAGGCUUUGUAUCCUUGCUCUCUCCACAGGAAUUUUGAAAAUAUUUUUUACCUGACCGCUGGCAGGAUAUUUGUAAUACUUUGCCAGCACAUCAAUAACAAUACAUAUAAAAAGAAUUUCAGAAUCUUACACCAAAUUUUGCCCUUCACUACACUAAUAUUAAUACAGAGAAAAGCUACUGCAUUUCUACUUGUGUAACUAAAAGCAGAGUUUUGCCUUAAGCAACAUGAGUGCAAAUGGCAAGGUAUUAAAAACACAGAUGUAGAGAGGGAGGUCCAUGUGUGGAAAUGGUUUAUAUUAAGAGGCAGUUGCUGAAGCAUAUGAGAGUUUUAGCCAUGCAAGGACCAUUUGGCCCAAUAUUUUUCUUUGUGAGUAGUAGUUUUAAAGAAAUCUAUCAUAAAGAUAAUUUGUUCUACUUACCUAUAAGCGCCUCAGAUCACUCCCCCUCUCCUUGCACCCUGGACCAGACCUGAAAUCCUGGUUGUCCAUAUACACAGUUGGGGUUAACAGUGCAGCCAUUAUUUUUUUCACAGCAUCAGGGAAUUAUUUCUGGUGAAUCAGAAUGUUGUCGCUUGUGACAAAUGGCUGCAUAGAAUGCAUAAACCUUUUAUUUUCCCUGCACACUAAAGGCCUGCACAAAAUGUCAAUGUUUCAUUGUAACACCUGCAGAAAUUUCUGAAAAUAAAGGUUUAGUAAAAUAUUAAUUCAGGUCUCUUCAUGUUGAAUAAAGAUGAUAGAAAAUAUUAAGCAAAAUGAUUACCCUUUUUCUUUGCCUCCUGGGUACCCUCGACACCUGCCUUCAGCAUUGCUAAUAACAGACUAAUCAUAGGUGAGUAAUACUCCAAUAAUAGAGUGAUACUCUAAUAAUAGAUGAAUAAUAUGCUUAUCUUGUUUUUUGGUUGCCUUUCUGAGACGUAGAUCUUGGUCACUGUGGUCAGAGCUUCUGAUGCCUUCAUCAAAAUAUUCCUCAGGGUCAUGGUUGACUGUGUGGAAAAAAAACAUCAAGCAUGGAGUUAAUGAUUGAAUCAUAACAGACCAUUGUUGUAAUUCUAAACUUUGCAAUUAAUUUAAUGUUUAAUUUUUCUUUUCAUGACAUUUAAACAUUAAGAAAAUAAUACAAUUACUUUUAAGAUAUCUUGUGCUGUUUCCCCUGUCACAGGACUCUGUACUGUUUCCAAUGACUUGGCCAUGCUUAAAUCUCUGAAUAGGUAGAAGUCUCUACAUGAUUUGUGUGUCUGGAGAUUGAAUCAUUGCUAAUGUGUUUUGCACUGAAAGAUCCUAUUGUGCCUGUGGAGUAGGUGGAUCUCCUGUUUUUGUUUACUGCCAGACUGAGUUUGGGUGGCCUCUGGGGAGUGUGUGUUUGUGUGAGUGGACAUGUGAAAUCAGCAGAGGUCUGGGCAUAUGCCAGACAACUUCAUUUUGGCUUGCUACUAGUACUCUCUACACUAGAAAAACAAUAAUACAUUUGUCUGAAAAUUGUACACACCGUAGAGAAUAUUAUUUUAUUCAUAAUAACACAAAAUAAAUCCAGAGGCUCUUUGAUGGUGAAGAUGGAGAGGAGGCAGGUCUAGAAGGCAAAAGUAAUGCUUCUGUUUGAGUCUUGUUGGCUAUACCUUUUUUUAUCUGAGCUGAACAGCCUAGAAAAGGCAGGAAACAUCCCCAGAUCCUGCUCUGUGUCCUGACCAUGAGAGUUUGGGCUCCUACCAAACAUUAUGGACUAUGUGGCAAGUGACUUUCUGCUCCUCCAGAUCCUGGCCAUGUCACACAGGCAGGUGGGACAUGUGGAGGAGGCUGUCCAGGCAGACACUUUCGGGGCUUACCCACAGUGCAGGAGAGCAUGUACCUGAAUACAUUUUAGUGCUCAGUGCACACAAGAUUUUCCCUGAGCAAGCUAGCUGAAUGGCCCUAAGCUGGAUCAAAAAGGUUUCAGAAGGUAAUCAGUGUAGCUGGCUGGUGAACUGAGCUUCAAAGUCACUUGAUCUUGCAGGGUAGAUAUUAUCACCUCAAGAUUUAUACUUGCUUAAAAAUAGCACUGGUGCUGAGGAAAUGAAAACUCCUCACUAACCUACAACACUCAAAGGAUGCACAGUUACUUUUGCUUGCCACUUUCCACUGUUGUUUGUUUGUUUUUAACCUCUGUCUUUUUUCAAUAAUCUGAACAAGUAGCCAGAAGUCACUCACUCCUAAUCAAGGAAGACACUGUAGUCUGUGAGUCCCAGAUAGCGGCACUGGUGUAGGCUCUGUAUAUGUGUAAUAAUUUAUUACCAUAAAUGGCUCCAUCUACCAGCAUAUGCAUAAUUGCUUAUAACUUAGCAGAUUCAAUAAAGCUGCUGUUAUUUCUUGCAAA